AGCGAGAAAAAAAGAGGAAAAAAGAGAAAGAAAGGAGUGGCAAAAAUGGAGAAGAUCACUGCUGUGUGUGUGGUAAUGUUGCUUCUCCUCCUCUCCUCUCCUACCUCUUU
rnacentral:ribozyme from 1 species